CCGGGGGGCCAUCUAGCUGGAGAGAGAAGGGACAGGUGACCCGAUCCGAGCCCAGCCCCGCCCAGCCGCCUUGGCGGGGGCGAGAGAUAGCGAGGGGAGCCGAGGUUGGGCAGGGAAUCGAGGGAGAUCCCGGGCGGGAUUUGGCAAGAGGCCCGAACUGAGGAAAUCUGGUGGAUGUGGGGCUUGAAUGGAAGCUGUCUGCCGCCUGGAACCCCGAACGGGUAGGGUGAACCCUAAACUUAGACCGGGAGACAGGGAUGGGGUCUGAAGAUGGGGCAGUAGGCUUGACGCAGGGGAAAAAGAGGGGUCUUACAUGGGAAGGUGGAUCCGCGGCCCGGGGACUGGGGACCCCCGUGACAGCUGGAAGGAGAAGAGAGAGGCGUAGGGCGCGUGGAGUGACGGAGGAGGGCGGAGGGCGGUGGCGUGGCGUGCCCCAGCCUGGGCCCCUGGCCCUCCCCCAGGUGUCUGCACACACCCGCGGGCCGACCUCCCCCAGCUCCCUCUGGAAAGGGGGCGAACGAGAGACUGACCAGCCGCUGCCUCCGCCUGCAGCCCCUCGGCCUGCAGCCCCUCCACCCGCUCUUGCAGCUGCCGGACGUGCGCCUCCAGGUCGCGGUUCCUGGCCUCGGCCUCGCAGAGUUGGCUGCGGGAAGGUAAGGACCGUGAGCCCUUGCGGACGGAGAGACGGGCUGCUAAAGGGAGCGACAGGCCCCGGAGCCCGGACCCAGACCUGGCGAAGUUCUGGUUAGCGGUGCGGAUGGCCUCCAGCUCCUGGCUCAGGCUCUGUCUGGUAAGCACCUCCUCCUCCAGGGCCUCCUGGAGCUCCUGCAGGGUCACCCCCGCCUCCGCUGGCAUGGCGGCCGGAACUGCGGCCUACAUAUGGGAAUCCGGCUUACUGCUGCCUGUGGCUCCUGGAGCACUCAAGACUUGUGACCUUUGCACACCCCUCCCCUUAGAGCCUCCUGACAGUGAGGGGGACCUAAUGAGGGGGACCCUGACCAGCUCUGGCCAUCUCCAAAGGUAUGGUCUUAAGACGGUGUGGAUCCCAAGCCUGUGCCUCUAGACAUCAGCACGACCCCCUCAUACCCAGCUGCUCGGGGAGGGGGACAGACCCUGCCUACAAAUACGAAAUGGCAGUAACAGUGGAUGUCCCUUCCAACCCAGCAAUCCCCUCAGGGAACUGCAUCUCCAGGGCCUAAUAACCCUGGACUUGCGGUGGCUGUGCGUUCAGCCUGGAUUCCAGCAGAGGGGACGGGCGAGUCCCGAGCUGCCCAGGAAGGAGAGUAUACUGGGCGGGUGAGGAGCAGGUUGAAGUUCAUUCACAGUAAGAAAUGGCGUUUGCAGUACAGUGUCCGGUAACAACACAGACUGUGCACAGCGUGUCCUCCCAGCCAGGGGCCCUCACUGAUGCUGAGCUUCCUCUUUCUCAUUUAUAUUUGAUAAUUUACUUUGACGAGCAAUGUAUUAUUUGUAGAAUUCAUGUUUUUAAAAGGCUUUAUGGUUA